CUUGACGACCAUAGAGCAUUGGAACCACCUGAUCCCAUCCCGAACUCAGUAGUGAAACGAUGUAUCGCCG
rnacentral:rRNA from 1 species